AUCAAGUGUUUGACUUUAAUGUUGUUGUUCAUUGUAGUAGAUGUACAGUAGCCAGAGAUCAACGUUUCCACAGAUCUCUACUGCACUGUAUGUGCUUAUCUAUACUGCACUUCACAUUGCACAGUCUUUGUGCACUGAGUGGUGUGCGUAAUUGAGAUCACUCUUGUAAUUGGAGAUCACAUAGUGACUCACAAACUGAUACUGAACUGCUGUGAAGUGCAAACGAAAUAUGCAUAGGCUCUGAGGUUAGAGCACGAGUAAAUUUAGCUUCUGGGGUGGUUGGCAAACACAUCUCUUCCAAGCUUGGUUCUUAGAGCCAGUGCCAAAUUAUAUUAUCAGCUGAGGGCUGAUGUGUUUAUGUGUUUAUGCUUCAUCACCAUUAGAUAAAGACCAGACUAGAGAGACAGUGGCUUUGAUUGAGGAUAAUUUAGCACUAAGUAAGAAGCAGAAAUAUAUUGUGUGCAUAGAAUAUUAAAAAAAAAAGAAACUUUGGCAGAUUCAGUGUGCAAUGCUUGAAUGGUUGUUAUGUGAGCACUAAAUGUUCCUGUCCUUUGAAAUACAAUGAUGUUGUUACAACAUAGUGCAUUAGCUCACUACAUCAAUUAUGUAUCACUACAUCAUUGUACCAUAUACAGUAAACUACACCUUUAUAAGAAACAAUCAUGCUUGCCUUUAUAGUGCUUUUUUGCCAGAUUUCAUUAUGUAGUUUUUCAUUAACAUUUACCUCUUAAACUUUCAGUCAAUCAUAUGUCCACAACCUCUUUUAGCAGGUCCAAAAGUUUCCAAGGACACAUUCAAGCUGACUGUCUGCAGCAGCAGACUCCUGCUCACUUUGGAGGUUAAAGGGCUCAUAUCAUGCAAAAUCCACUUUUUAGACAUUUUGGAGCGUCCCUAUGACUCUAUGGGUCACAUAUACACACACUGAGCACGGUAGAAAUGCAUUUCCUGCUUUUUUCACAUUUUGAAAACGUAAAUUUUCUCAUCCAAUGGAGAGAGAGAUCUACUGUUCUGAGGCCGUUCCCCAGGUUUCGUCAUACUGGUUGAAAGUUCUCCCUGCAAAUCCUGAACCACCACCCCCACAAUGAUCCCGAACCAAAACUGGACUUCCGCCAUUUCCCCCCUCUCACUCACCGUGAACAGACCAGCACGGUUGUUCUAACCAACACCAAAGUCUAUUCACUUUACCAAGGGAUCGACAAGUGAGGAUUUGUGGGUCACUUUUAUUUUUAACGGACCGGUGCCAGAAACACUGCCUCAGCAUUUAUACGUAUGUGCAUUUCAAACAAGGGUGCGUACAAUGCUGGAUUUGUUUCACGGCUCCUGUUGGAAAAAAAGGACCUAUUCCUAAAGUCCGUCAUCCACUCACUGAAGAGGGCAAAUCCCAGUUGCCCACAUGCAAGGAGGCUGUCAAACAGAGAAAUCACUGCAGACUGUUGGUACACGGACAUCUGCUGCCCAGCUCAGGAGUAAAGGUGAUGGUGAGGACAGCCACAGCUUCCAUCUGGUAGAGGACUGCUUCCGCUCAGUCUUCCAAAUAGCGAUGAGAACAAGGACCACCACAUCUCCCUGUUUACCCUACUUUCAUGCAUUUCGGCUGCAAGGCCCUGCAAAAGCUUCUGUCCUCAAACCCCCAGACUUCUUAAUUAACUCAGUAACCUAUACAUUGCACAUUGGAGUGUGAAGGUAACAGUUUGUUCUAACUUUGGCGUAGUGGUGUAUUUUUUUGGUUUACAAUAAAGUUGGCUUUAACUAUUAUGUAUUUCACUAAACUCUGUUUCUGAAGGUAAAACACUUUUAUUUAGGAAAUCAUAGUAUUGAAAUUACAUGUUUUUCUCUUUCUAAUAUGGUAAGCUAUAAAGUUGAAGUGGCCAUAAAUAAAAAGCAUAUAAAUUAUAUAUAAAUAAAAUAAAAAAAAUCUUAAUGAGUGUUGCACUCACAAAAAACACAUUUUUACUCAAAUGGUAAAGGAGUUAUUCCACAGGUGGUCUACAUCAAUCAUACUAUGAGUGUUUUAGUGUUUUAUCCAUCAGGAAACUGCCUUCAUCUACAACCCAAGCAUGAAGAGAUGGCAACUCAGAUUCUACACCCCAGGAAUCCUCAGCACCAUCUCACUAGCCUCUGUAGACUAGAUACCUGUAACAACUUUAGAUACAGAGACAUAUUACUGUCAUAUUUAUCAAGAAUGACAAAAAACAUAAUUAAAAGCAGUAAAAUUACGUUAGGUCAAUAUAUAAUUUGAACCAAUGCUUUUUGUUCCCAGGAAGGUCAUGCAGUGAUUGCUCUAAAUAUUAAUGCACAUUUUUUAAAUAAAAUUAAGUCAGAGCAGCAGCACAAGUAAGACAAAAACAGUGAAAUGUGUAAAUGUAAAAUGUAUUUAUAUUAUUUCAGCUAUGCUCUCAAACUUAUUUAUUUGUAUAAUGUAAGCUAAAGUAGUGUUUUCUAUUAACGAGAGUUUUCCAGGUAAGUCGUGUUGUGAAUAUUGAAGCUGCACAGGCCAUUUAGCAUACGCAUUAGCAACCGCUAGUCGCUUUGCAAAUUACAUAAAUCAAUUAAAUUGAAGUAAAUGCGACAUUACCAAUGAGA